rnacentral:rRNA from 1 species
GACAGAGGUGCCGAGCGUUAGGCGGAAUCACUGGGCUUAAAGCGCGUGUAGGCGGACGUCUAAGUGCCUUGUGAAAUCCCACGGCUCAACCGUGGAACGGCUGGGCAUACUGGGCGUCUUGAGCCACCUAGGGGCGAGCGGAACAAACGGUGGAGCGGUGAAAUGCGUAGAUAUCGUUUGGAACGCCAAUGGUGAAAACAGCUCGCUGGGGGUGUGCUGACGCUGAGACGCGAAAGCCAGGGGAG